GACGUAGGAUGCGAGCGUUGUCCGGAUUUAUUGGGCGUAAAGAGUUCGUAGGUGGUUUGUUAAGUCUGGUGUUAAAGACUGGGGCUCAACCCUGGAUAUGCACUGGAUACUGGCAGACUUGAGUGUGGUAGAGGCUAGUGGAAUUCCCAGUGUAGCGGUGAAAUGCGUAGAUAUUGGGAAGAACACCGGUGGCGUAGGCGACUAGCUGGGCCAUAACUGACACUGAGGAACGAAAGCCAGGGUAGCGAAUGGG
rnacentral:rRNA from 1 species